GACGAACGCUGGCGGCGUGCUUAACACAUGCAAGUCGAACGGGAAGGCCCUGCUUUUGUGGGGUGCUCGAGUGGCGAACGGGUGAGUAACACGUGAGUAACCUGCCCUUGACUUUGGGAUAACUUCAGGAAACUGGGGCUAAUACCGGAUAGGAGCUCCUGCUGCAUGGUGGGGGUUGGAAAGUUUCGGCGGUUGGGGAUGGACUCGCGGCUUAUCAGCUUGUUGGUGGGGUAGUGGCUUACCAAGGCUUUGACGGGUAGCCGGCCUGAGAGGGUGACCGGGACGAGGAGGGGGGGGAGACGGCGACGACGCGGGGGGGGGGCACAAGGGGUGAAUAUUGCAGAGGGGGCGGAGGCCGGAGGCAGCGAGGCCGGGUGGGGAGUGACGGCGUGGGGGUGUUCAACGGCGUGCGGCUGUGAGGAAGCGGGAGUGAGGGUAAGGGAAAAAGAGGCCCCGACAAACUACGUGCCAGCCCCGGGGGAAAUGAGCGGAAAGCACAAACUUGAUC
rnacentral:rRNA from 1 species